CAGCAAAAUAAUAUGUUUCUCAAUUUCAAGUACUUUACAUAGUUUUUUUCAAUGCCUAUUUCAAGAUCAUUCAAAAAUAUCUUAAAGGAACACUAUAGAGUCAGGAACACAAACAUGUAUAGAAAUCACUAUCUAGUCCAUCUGGAUUCCCCCUUACCCCCCUAAAUAUAGUAGAAAUGUUCCUUUAUUCUAAUAUGCUGGUGCAGGCUCUGCCCCUACCCUGUUGAUUAUCUCAACCAAUCACAAUUGCAUUGGAUUGACUGAGAUUGCCAAGGAGGUGGGUCAGAGCUAAGUACCACCCUGGCCAAU